GAAAGGUUCACAAGAACUGCUAACUCCUACUACUGGUACUAACUCACCAGACCUUUCA
rnacentral:tRNA from 1 species